GAAUGUCAUAACCCAUGAAGGUCGUAUCUUGGACCGCUUUUCUUGGUACCAUGAGUGGAACUGAAGCAUGUAAGCGUAGUGAUUCUUCCACGGUUGCUUGCAAGUAAGGUAGAUUAGUAAUGUCACUCUCUUCCAGUUCCUUGUUUGCUCCCACAACUCUGCCAAGCUCCGCUUUGAUCUUCUUCAUUGAUUCAGGAUUCCUUAAGAGCUCACACAUCGCCCACUCAAUUGUGGCGCUUGUUGUUUCUGUUCCUGCCAUAAACAUUUCCUGAAACAAUAACAUAAUCUCAACUCAAGACACAAAUUCAUUUUCCCUUUAACUUGCCAUACACAUUUCUACUCGGACUUACCAUUAGAAAGAUCGUUAUUUGGUGGUCUGAUAGUUUAGCUGGUUCAUCCUUUCCAUUACCCUCAUAAUCCAGCACCACGUCCAAGAAGUCCUUGUGCUCUGUUGCCCUUCCUUCCCUGUGUUGCUGUUGUUUCACACGCUCCCUCAUAAACCCUGAAAUAAUUUUCAUUGCUUUUUUUAGCUCUCGAUCUGUUCUCCUCCUUAAUCCUUGAAGGUCAAGCCAUCUAAGCCAGGGAAACAAAUCGGAGAUAUUAGGACUUGUCAAACAUACUGAGAAUCCUGACAAGGCCGAGUAAAAUUCAGAGGCCAUCUCAGAAUUCGGAUGCAUCAAGUCUUUAGACAGUGUCAGAUUUCCAAUCAUGUUAAAUAUUGCCGGGAAUAGAAAACUUUUUACUUCAAUUUCACCAGUUGCACUUUCUACUAAUUCCUUUUCUAUCCACGACAACAUCUUAUUGACACAUCUUUGCCUGACUAAAACUGUUUCAUUGAUUCUCUUAUUACUGAAGAGCUCAACUGUGCAGAUCCGCCUCAAGGUGCGCCAGUAGGGGCUACAUUUGCCUAAUACCAUAGAGCUCUUGUAGUAGUCAUUUGCCCUCAUGACAUCAUUAUUAAACCGGUCAAUAAAGGAGAGAUCAUGGUUCUUGAACAACUCUUCGGCUGCACCAGCAGAAAGAAUCACCAUGGUCUUGACAGCUCCAAGAUCUAACCACACAACAGGACCAUACUUUUCUUUCAGUGCAGCUAGACUUCUGUGUGGUAAAGCUCCAAGAUCAAAUAUAUUUCCAAUGACUGGCCAGCCUCGAGGCCCUGGAGGAAGCUUGGAACGUCUGUAACUAUUCUUUCGUCUCAAGUGCCAUAUCAGUGGCAUCAAAGUGAACAAAAUGGACCAAAUAACAUAGUUCCACUUCAACUCCAUGUCCAGAGACUACAGACUCUGUACUGAGACUUGAGUUUCGACUUAUACUUAAUCUUAUAAAAAAAAUUCUGCGGCGAUCUCAGUUUGCGGAUCCACCAAGUCACUAAAAUUCAAACAUAUUAAUAGAGGGGUGCUCAAACUAGUACUCCCAGUAUUAUUGAACCUUGUUUUCAGUCCAUACAAAGAUAUCAUCCACACAUUUUUGGCAUAUCAAUAUAUCAUCCAGCUGAUAUUUAUUUUUUACAUUGAAGACCUCAAUAAUACAUCUGCAUUAAACGUGAAUGUCGAAAUCAUCUUUAUAACAAAGGCACAGCAUGUCAAAGAAGUAAGAUCACGGAUCUGGAAUAAGUCUUUGGGCCUUUGGCAGCAUGCACACGGUACUGUAUGGGCACAGUGUUCAUCAAACCGCACAAAUCGUAUAAUCGCUCCGCGGGCUGUUAGCGAACAAGCUCGAGCUCGGUUCGAUAAAAGCUCGGUUCGGCUCGUUUUGUUAAGAAUUUGAACUCGAGCUCGAACACAAUGUGUUCGUUAAGAAAACGAGCUCGAGCCGAGCUUUUAGUAUGUUCAGCUCGAGCUCGGCUCGAACUCGUUCGGCUCGUUAAAACUCGAAAAAAUGCAAUAUUUUCGGGAUAUAUUUAUAAGAUAUACAUGUUAUUGAACUCAUAAUUCAACAUAUAAUACAUUUAUAGAUUUUAGUGAUGUAACAAAAGUUUCGGAAUUUUUUUUUAUUUGGUUUACUAUUUUAUCAGUUAAGCAUCAGUUUGACAUGUACACUAACUAGUGUAGUCUUGAAUUGAUGUUUUGAUUUUUUUAAAAAUAUUUUUCAUUGAUCCGACCUCGUUUGGCUCGGCUCGUGAACAAGCUCCUGUUCGACUCGUUAGUCAACGAGCUCGAGCUCGAACAUAAUUUUUGUUCGAUAAAAAACUCGGCUCGGCACGGCUCGACUCGUUAGAAAAAAAAAAUUAAAGCUCGGUUCGGCUCUGUUCGUGAAGCCCUACGGAGCACACUCCAAAAGUGGUUUUUAGCUUUUGUGACUGUGGGGUGAAAUUUUGAAAAAUUACACCUUGCGUUGCGAGUUGCAGUUUAACAUUAUACACGUGGUUCAAACCGUAACAUACAGUAAUAUAUAACAACUCAGUUAAACCAGAAACCAGUGAUCGGAUCACUUACAUCUAGUGAUUAUUCAGAGUCUUUCUUCAAUCACUGGCAUCAUCUCUGAUUACCACCAUUAAUUGUGAUGAUGAUCAUGCAUCCAUUCGUUUGGGAACUCCUCUUAAGGGCACUAGUUUUCUUGCUGAGACCCCCAUUGCUUCUCUCAUGUCCAUUUUAAUCCCACCACUGACACUAUCACAAAGCUUCCAGUCGAAAUGAUGAAGCAACGAGCCUAAAAUGAGAGGAAGAACACGAUGAGCCAAAGGAAGACCAGGGCAAAUUCUUCUCCCAGCACCAAAUGGUAUAAACUUAAAACUCUGUCCCUUGUACCCAAUACUCGAUUCCAAGAAUCUUUCAGGUUUAAAAGACAAAGCAUCCUCCCAACUCUCUUCGUCUCUCCCAAUCGCCCAAGCAUUGACAAAAACUUGUGUAUUUUUUGGAAUGUUAUAGCCCAUGAAGGUCGUAUCUUGGACCGCCUUUCUUGGUAGCAGAAGUGGAAUUGAAGCAUGUAAGCGUAGUGAUUCUUCCACGCUUGCUUGCAAGUAAGGCAGAUUAUUAAUGUCACUCUCUUCCAGUUCCUUGUUUGCUCCCACAACUCUACCAAGCUCCGCUUUGAUCUUCUUCAGUGAUUCAGGAUUCCUUAAGAGCUCGCACAUCGCCCACUCAAUUGUGGCGCUUAUUGUGUCUGUUGCCGC
rnacentral:lncRNA from 1 species